rnacentral:rRNA from 1 species
GACGAACGCUGGCGGCGUGCUUAACACAUGCAAGUCGAGCGGAGCGGCGAACGGGUGAGUAACGCGUGAGUAACUGCCCCCCUCUCUGGGAUAACAGUUGGAAACGGCUGCUAAUACCGGAUAGUGGGGGCUGACUCGGGGCCUAUCAGCUUGUUGGUGGGGUAGUGGUCUACCAAGGCGACGACGGGUAGCCGGCCUGAGAGGGCUACCGGCCACAUUGGGCUAAGAUACUGCGCAAACUCCUACGGGGGGCAACAGUGGGGAAUAUGGCACAAUGGGGGAAACCCUGAUGCAGCAACGCCGCGGGCGGGAUGACGGCCUUCGGGUUGGAAACCGCUUUCAGCCAUGACGCGGUAGUUGCAGAAGAAGCACCGGCUAACUACGUGCCAGCAGCCGCGGUAAUUC